CCUACGGGUGGCAGCAGUGGGGAAUAUUGCACAAUGGGGGAAACCCUGAUGCAGCGACGCCGCGUGAGCGAAGAAGUAUUUCGGUAUGUAAAGCUCUAUCAGCAGGGAAGAAAAUGACGGUACCUGAGUAAUAAGCUCCGGCUAAAUACGUUCCAGCAGCCGCGGUAAUACGUAUGGAGCAAGCGUUAUCCGGAUUUACUGGGCGUAAGGGGAGCGUAGGCGGCCUGCCAAGUCUGAUGUGAAAUAACGGGGCCCAACCCCGGGGUUGCAAUGGAAACUGGCAGGCUGGAGUGCAGGAGAGGCAGGCGGAAUUCGUAGUGUAGCGGUGAAAUGCGUAGAUAUGAGGAGGAACACCAGUGGCGAAGGCGGCUUGCUGGACGGUGACUGUCGCUGAGGCUCGAAAGCGUGGGGAGCAAACAGGAUUAGAUACCCCUGUAGUC
rnacentral:rRNA from 1 species